GCGACGCCGCCUCAGCGAGCGGCUGCCGCGGCGAAGGCCGCGCUCGCCCCCUCAGGGGCGAGCGCGGCCUUCGCCGCGGCAGCCGCUCGCUCAGAAUGCUUCCCCCCGACUACAAAGACACCUUUAAGCGUAACAGCUGAACUGGCUCCCACCGAGGUACCACCGCCAAGCUGUCGCUGGGAACCAGUUUGGGUGAGAAACGGGAGAUUUGUCUGGGAUGCGAGAAGCCCAAGGAAAUACGGAUAAGGCAUGUGAUCAUCAGUAUGCGACAUUAUGGUCAGACCUUGCAAAUACUGACUCUCGGAGAAGACAGUACUAAACGCUGUGGCCGGCAGUAGGUGCCUGUAGGCUCUAGUCCAGAUAGUAACUCACUGCCAGGGAGUUUGAGGGGAAGAGGCAAGUCUACUAAACAUGGCCGAGACCAAGCCGAUGCUACUCCCAGCUUCCCCACUUUCCAAGGAACAAAGGGAUGACACACUCUUCCUAACAUUUUUAAAUGAUUUCUACCUUCUCCCAAAAUUCUCUGUAUGGAUUCAAUUACAACAUUUCUCUUCACUUCUUAAGUGGAUUCCACAAAUAAUGAAAGAGAUCUUAACACAAAUUUCAAUACUGAGUAGCAUUUCCAGCUCCUUCUCCAAGUUAAUGCCCUACAUAUAUUUUACAACAUAAUUAAAAUGUCCCUGUAUUUUUAAAGGCAUACCUUUAUUUUUCUAUAUAAAAUAAACUGGACUUGAAUAACAAUCUAACAGAGGUUAUUCAAACGACAACUCUUCAAAUAAUAUACUCUCUUUUGGCAUCGUUUUAAAGAUAGUGGGAACUUAAUUCCCCCAAAGUUAAAAUUGGCUACAUUACAGUAUCUUCAUCCUUGUUACUCUUUGUACAACUACUAUUUGAAGGAAUGAGAGGUAACAGCAACAAAAUACAUGAUAGCAGACCACCACCUAUCCAAGCUUGUACUGAGACCAAAUGGGGUAAUACAACCCAGUUUGAAGAUACAGAUUUUUAGGAGCAAAACCAGAUUUGUAUCGGUGAUAUUUUACAAAAUACGCAUUUGAUUUUUUUCUUUUUUGGUCUCCAAUUAUUUUUGCUUUAAAGAAAAUGAAGACCAUAGCAUUAAGGACAGGCUUCAGAAGCACUGAACUUGGAAAACAAAAUAUAGCAGAGGACACAUUUAAUACAUUCCUAAAGAAAAAAUGACUUGUGAAAGCCCUAAUUUACCCAAAUCAGUAUGCUAAAAGUAAUAGUAUUAGCAAUAUUAUUUUGCGAAUGGUAACGUCAGUAAAGAUACGAGAUUCGGGGACGUUUCAGAGAAGUCUACGGUAUUGAGACCAAACUGAAUUCAGAAGAUUUGGAGUCAAACUGAAGUUACGGGCCUACGCACAUCCAGAGGAACUACCAUCCAUCAUCUUGUUAUUCCUACAGCUACCUUUCCUCCUUUUUGUCAUUUUCGCUCUCUAAAGUACAUAUUAAACGUUAAUUUAAAAGCAAGGAGCACAAAAGAUUAAACCCCCAAGUAGCAACUUCAGAAGCAAACCUGGAGAAAGCACAGUAAAAUGUUUUUCUGUUUGCAGCAACCCCCGUGAGUGCCAUCACUGGCAACUCAGUCUGCCGAGUCCGCGAGCCACCUCCCAUCCCAAGCACACCUCCUUUAUCUGGCUCCGCCAGAGUUACCUCCGAAAGCCACGGUAUCGGAAGCAGGCGGAGUGCCCAGCAGCGUACCGAGAUUGGGGGUGAUUAGCAAGAGAUAACAGCACUUGCUUCACAAACUGCUCUUGCUUAUCAAGUACAAAAUCAGGGGGUGCCACCUGAUUUCUGUGGCAAUAUGAUUUUUCAGGAUAAAAUCCAGGUGUCGGGCCGUACCGCACUAUCAGUUCUCAAGCAGAGGAACUGAUUUUUGCCAGACCGACCUGUUUAGGUAAUGAUAAUCUAAUUUGGCCCACUGUUUAUCAACUAAAAUUUGAUACAGAAUGCUUUAGUUGCAUUCCUUUAAACGUAAUUUCACAAUAGGCUCGGAAAACCUCAUCAGUUGUGAGUUGCGCAUCCCACGGGAUAAAUGUUCGUCUGUGGAACUGGUAAAAGAACCUAUACGUCUGUUAAAUACAACUCGCCAAAGUAUUUGAAAUUAAAAGCUUAACAAUUAAUGGUC